AUCGUUGCCCCUACGCCGGUGCAGGGGCGAAUGUUGGCUUCCUGUGAGCACUGUCUCGCGGUUGGCUGAAAGUCGAGCCUGUGGUGGAGUGCACCGCGACGGAUGGUGGUUGAGGGAAGAGCUCGAGACCAGUCGCGCGUGUCGCCCUCCCGUGCUUCGGGACUCUGUGACCC
rnacentral:misc_RNA from 1 species